GCUGGCGUAGCUCAAUCGGUAGAGCAACGGUUUUGUAAACCGUAGGUUGCGGGUUCGAGUCCCAUCGCCAGCUCCA
rnacentral:tRNA from 2 species